rnacentral:rRNA from 1 species
AUUGAACGCUGGCGGCAGGCCUAACACAUGCAAGUCGAGCGGAUGAAGGGAGCUUGCUCCUGGAUUCAGCGGCGGACGGGUGAGUAAUGCCUAGGAAUCUGCCUGGUAGUGGGGGAUAACGUCCGGAAACGGGCGCUAAUACCGCAUACGUCCUGAGGGAGAAAGGGGGGGAUCUUCGGACCUCACGCUCUCAGAUGAGCCUAGGUCGGAUUAGCUAGUUGGUGGGGUAAAGGCCUACCAAGGCGACGAUCCGUAACUGGUCUGAGAGGAUGAUCAGUCACACUGGAACUGAGACACGGUCCAGACUCCUACGGGAGGCAGCAGUGGGGAAUAUUGGACAAUGGGCGAAAGCCUGAUCCAGCCAUGCCGCGUGUGUGAAGAAGGUCUUCGGAUUGUAAAGCACUUUAAGUGGGGAGGAAGGGCAGUAAGUUAAUACCUUGCUGUUUUGACGGUACCAACAGAAUAAGCACCGGCUAACUUCGUG